AAAAGAAGAAGAAAAAAAAAAAAAAAAAAUCUAAAAUCCAAAUUCCAAUAAAACAGAACAAAAAUGGAGUCUUUUGAAUCCAACUUGAUCAAAGAAGAUCAGCAAAUCACCAACACUCACAUCACCAAUAACGCAGAUCACGGCUGGCAAAAGGUCAUCUACUCCAAGCGCCAGAGGAAGCAGAAGCCCGCGGAUUCUGACUCCUCGGCUGCGAAUGCCGGAAAAAUCAAUGGAACUGCCGUCCCCAACGACAAGUCUA
rnacentral:misc_RNA from 1 species